AUCUACCCGGAGCCAGACGCAUCAAAAGGCUCUCUUUCUCCGACUAACAACGAUACCAACUAAAUUAUAGCUAUAGAGGAUACGAAACUGGAUUAACCAAGAUGGGUGUGAAACAAGAUGGUGAUGGCACUAUUCUACCUCCAACCGAACUGGAGAAGAUACCUGAUGGGCUUGAUGUGAGUGUGAAGAAGUUUCUUAGAGGAAGCGAAACUAAUUUGGAG